UUAGUACUUUCUCUCUCUCUCUCUCUCUCUCUCUCUCUCUGUGCUUAGCAUAAGAGAAAAAAAGUAUCUCUCUCUUCCUCUAACAAGAGCACGAGUUUGUUCAUACACAGUACUAUCUUGUAGAUGAGUAUUGUACACAUUUAUCUUCUAAAACUGCCAAUGUUUCAGUCACACCAACAAAAGCAGAACUUUCAUAUUCUGAAGAUCUGGGUCGAAAACGAUUUGAUAUCUUUGCACCCUUUUUUCUUCUCUAUAAACUGAGACAUUUCUAAAUUCGUCUUCUUAGCCUUUCCCUCUCCAGUGCUUCUUUUUGUUUAAAUUUGGAACACAACAAAAGCUCCUUUGCUAGAGACACCAUGACACCCAUCAUUCUUGCAUAAAAAGAGCUUUAAUCAGGACCCUUGGCUUGAUUCGAUCUUUGUCUUGGGUGAGCUGCCCAACUUUCUCUUCAGACAGACAGUCCCAGCGUGGGUCAGAAGACACUCCCACAAGGCAAUCCUUCAUGGCCUCAGCUUCUUACAACACACAACUAUUUCUUCUACAAAUUUUGCUUUCUUAUGAUAGGACAAUAGAACCCAUCACUCAAAGGGGGGGUCUGUUUCACAAAGGAAAGCAGAAACUAGAAGAAAAAAACGCUUUGUGGUGAAGAUCAGUGGCAACAGGAGCUGUGAAGAAUGGAGAAGGCUGUGGUUGUCACAACUUGGAGAAUGCUUGUGAAGCAAAUGGGUUUCUUUGGCUUAUGUGAAGGUUGGGCUGAUUAUGGAAUAAACCCCAUUUUCAAAGUCCAAUCUUUGCAACUCGCUCUGCUCUUUCUCUUCUGCUUUGCCUUUUGAUGAUGGUGUUGGUGGUGGUGAUAUUGGCGGGACGGCUCAAUCUCUUAAUUUUAUGAUAUAAUUUUUAUUUCUUUUUCUUUUUCUUUUUAUCAUGAUGUUGUCCAUAUUGAAAGUUUAUGCAAAUGCUCUUUCUAAUGACACUAACUUGCCCCUUUGGUUUUGCAUUUGUGCCUUACUGCUUCUUGAAGAAAACCCCAAUAUUCCUUCAUAAAGCAAAGAAAGAAAAAGCAGCAGAUGAUAGAUUUUAUGCAGUAAAUAUGGGGCAGACAACUCUGUUUAGGAGUUGGUGAGUACUGAGUAAAGCUUUUAAUUUUUUGGGGUCCAUUAAUCUGCAGAGCAUUCAAUGUUACAGCACUGUUUCAUUAUCAAUUACAAAAUUUUCUGUCA